rnacentral:lncRNA from 1 species
CCCUUGACUGCUUCUCCGCAGCCCAACCUACCCAAACGCGGUCCAACACUAACAUCUCCUCUCCAAUCUCCAUCUUUUCACCGUUAUUGCUGCUGCAACUGUUGAUAUACUAACAUCCGAAGUCCCCUAUCCUUGGAUCACCGAGGGCAUUGCCGCCUACUAGCUCCUCUCCCCAUCCUUCACCUCCUUCCAACUUGCCCUUCUUCUCGUACUCUCUCCUUCGUGGCCUUUGUCGUUGUCCACCACCCGAACACCCAAACGACUCGGCGAUUGGCCUCUUCCAAGUGGACGAGGUUCCUGUACGGUGGAUAACUGACAACUCUCGUUUUAUCUUGAAUUGUUUAAAUGCACGUUGGUGUUUAAUGUGGCGAGACUGGGCAUGAUGCAUCCA